GGUAUUUUAACCGCGCUAAGGUAGCGUAAUCAUUUGUCUCUUAAAUGGAGACCUGUAUGAAUGGCACCACGAGGGUUUGACUGUCUCCUUCCCCCAGUCAAUGAAAUUGAUCUGCCCGUGCAGAAGCGGGCAUAAUAACAUAAGACGAGAAGACCCUAUGGAGCUUUAGGCAAAAGAUUAAACAUGUAAAGAGAAUUAUUCAACCCUAAAGGGACCAAAUGAUUUUAAACCUAAUGUGAACAUAACUCCCAUGCCUUCGGUUGGGGCGACCACGGGGGAAAAUAAAGCCCCCGCAUGGAAUUGAAGACACCUUCCAAGACAAAGAACUACAGUUCUAAUCAACAGAACAUCUGACCACAAGUGAUCCGGGACAAAGUAUUACCCGAUCAAUGAACCAAGUUACCCUAGGGAUAACAGCGCAAUCCUUUCCCAGAGCUCAUAUCGACGAAAGGGUUUACGACCUCGAUGUUGGAUCAGGACAUCCUAAUGGUGAAGCCGCUAUUAAGGGUUCGUUUGUUCAACGAUUAAUAGUCCU
rnacentral:rRNA from 1 species